AGAGAGAGGAGGGAGCCUGAGGAGAUUCGAGAGAGGGAAGGAAGGGAAAUGAAAUGUCUACGGAGGGCUAUGGAGGAGAGAGUAGCCUCCAUCCUCUGCCCUGUCUCCCUCAGCGGCCAGGGAGUGCAACAGAGCUAGGGGUUGAGACUGUGUGGAGCCAGAAACAAGUCUGAGAGAGACUUUUAAUGGCUCACGUUUGACUUAGCUACAUUAUUGCAGCCCGUCCACAUCUGUUGCUUCAAGACUUCCCAGGCUUGGGGGGGACCAGGGGGAUUUUUUUACAUGAAAUAUCCAGGUUUUUGUGGUUGGUUGGUUUAUUUUAUCAUUAUUAUUUACAUUUUGGGGCUGUGCCAAAGCGGAAGGGUGGGCUGGAUCCUUUUGGGUAAGGGAUCAGGCAGACAGUGGACGACAACCCCCCCCCAAAAAAAAGCUCCACAUUUUUUUGUGUCUGGAUUAUUUAUACUUCUUGAAAUAUGGCAACCCUAUUUAAUGUGAUAAAUUAUAUAUAUAUAUAUAAUGCAUUCCUCUUGCUUCCUAUCCUCUUUUUCCCUUCCCCAAUUGAAUAAAUCCUGGUUCACAUCUCCCUCUGAAGGGUUUUGCAAACCCUGUUAGGAGCUUGGAAGCAAAGCUCUGUGGAGGAAGAGCAGUAGAAUUUGUUGCCCUCUCUUCUCCCCUUUAAUGUUUGUUUGUUUGAAGUCAUUUCUGCACCAGGUAAAGUAAUUUUAAGCCCUCAAUCACCCCCCCCUCACCAACCUGUCCUUUAUUUUGCCUGCCAAAUAAAGCACUAAAAGGCAAAACAGAUAUUUAGAGCUCCAUGGAUUACUGUUGCCUAGUGUCCGAAAUAAACACUCAUCAGUAGCACCUCUGAAUUCACUCAUUGGUUAAAGACAGUGAAAGGCAAGGUGAAGGGGUGAAGCAAGGCUGCAUCCUGGCUCCCACUUUUUAAAAACUUUGAUAGUAAUGAUUUGGUAGUGGCGCCCUCCCUGUGGAACCCCCUCCCUUCAGAUGUCUGGGAAAUAAACAACUAUCUGACUUUUAAAAGACAUCUGAAGGCGGCCCUGUUCAGGGAGGUUUUUAAUGUUUGAUGUUUCAUCGCUUUUUAUCAUUAUUAUUAAUAUUCUGUUGGGAGCUGCCCAGAGUGACUGGGGAAACCCAGCCAGAUGGGCAAGGUAUUAAUAAACAAAGAUGGUGAUGAUGAUGAAGAAGAAAAUUUCACCUCUCCAGUAAUUAGGAAUAGAAAGAUCAAAGUCUUGAUGUAGACAGAUGAGUUAGUGCUCCUCUCCCUUUCCCGGCUGGACCUCAAAAAACUCUUGAAAGUGAUCAGCACAUACUGUAAACAGGAAAAGGUAUCUAUAACUUACUCUAAGACCAAGAUUGUGAUUUUUAGCAAACACAGCCCUAGAUUUAAAUGGUGCAAGCUAUAGGACAGACUUGCUCACUUAGAUAUCUGGGUGCUUGGAAUUGUCAUAUUUAGGCAAUGAAAGUCAAAGCACAUAAAACUAUAGGGGCACUGAGGAAGUUCUAUUACAGGGCGGCAGAAGGCUAAAAGGGAAAAAACCGAGCCAACGCUCAGCAGGAGCGGCGCACGCACCCUCGCUUGACGCAGUGGCGCAUGCACCCAGGCGCCUGGCUUUGCUCAGUUGCUGCCUCGUGCUCUGUUCUGCUGUGAGGCGGCUGGCCCUAUGUGAAGAGGGAGGCGGGCAAUGGCAAAGAAGAAGAGAGGCGCCCCCAAUUCGCCCACUUUCUUCCUCCUCUACCUGGGCUGCAAAGGUUUUUGAGAUCAAUGCAAGCUAAAAAGCAUUGCAGGGGGGUUGGGCUAGAUGACCCGCAGGGUCCCUUCCAAUUCUACGUUUUUCUGAAAAACACACAUGCAAAACCCAACUAUGGUCCCUCUGCAGUCCUCGCCCCAAGCAACUGUGUGUGAGCCUUGCUCCCCAGAAAGUGUGCCUUGUCUUGCUACCUGUGGUUUUUGGUCUCUCGUCCGUCCCUCCCCCCCAAUCUAUUCAUAUUCCUUUCUCCCUAAUCACCAAUAUUACAUUUUCCCCUGGUUGAGACUUAAAACAGAAAGCCCUAAUUCCCAGCUGUGUUUCUUGCUGCAGUCCUACUGUCUACGCAGAAGUAAGGUCCUAUUAGAUUCAGCAGGGCUUACUCUUAGGUAAAUGCAGUCAGGGCUGCAGCCUUUGUGACCCAUGUUUUGGGUCCUUUUUAGGUUCAGGAUGUCACUGUUUUACACCCACACCCACCCCCCACAAUAUUUGAAGACGUCAGCUUUGUACUUAAACACAAAUUGGCUGGGAACUUCAUUGUCUGUGUCUUUAUUAAUUUAUUUAAAGACCAGCAAACUGGUGGCUGCUUUAACUUUUUGAUAUGUGGUGAUUUGAAUCAUGAGGAUGAAUUAGAAGAACUGGUGUCUUGAAUCAGUCUUGCUUUGGAAUUGAGGACUUUACUAGAUUUUCUUCUGCCUUUUCAUUUUAUUUUGUUCUAAGGGCUUGUCAGAGAUUAAAAAAAAGGUCAACUACUCUGGGGAAAAUUUUCUUAAAAAGGUCAACAACUUUGGGGUUUCCCCCCUUAAAAAGGGAAAUGGGGGGGGGGGUGCCGGAGGGAUCUUUGCACCAUGGCGCCUGAUAUGCUUAAGACGGCCCUGCUCAGGAGCCCAGUUAUGUCACCCCUUGCCUGCAGAGCUAGCAGCUUCUCACCCUUUUUCAAACACCCUCCCUUGUGAAAUCUUCCCUCAGACUCCUCUCUUCUCCCCUCUCUGUUGGAGUCCUCUGUGAAGCCGCUGCUGCACCCCAGUCUUUGAGCUGCCCCCCUGCCCCAAAGAGAGGUGCCCCCUCACACUGCCCCACAGGAGCCUAGGAAACACCCCCUGGGCUGCUCCAGAGGCACCAUUCGCCUGGGGAGCUUGUAGCCAGGGCUGCUGGAACAAACAGCUGCCAAGCCUUUGGGGGGCAGAGACGCGAGAGGGCAUCAGAGGAGUGAGGUAAGGAAGAGGGAUAGAGGCCAGUGUUGCCCACAGCACCCCUGACCAUCGUUCAAGGCACCCCAGGGUGCCAUGGCACACUGGUUGAAAACCACUGCUCUAUGGUGUUGAAAUCUGGGGCUAUGAUUCGAACUCCAUUAAAGUUACAGAACUUUGAAGGUGCCACACCAUUCAAUUCUCAUGCAGUUCCACCUCAAUUUAGUAAUCUCAGCUUCUACUGUGUGGCAUAUAAUGCAAGAAAUUACUGCCCAAGUACUUUCAUUGAUGUUUGUGCUAUAAUUACAGGCUUGCUUAUGCAAAACCAUGUUUUUCUUUAAAGAGAGAUACUGCCCAGUUGCUUUUCUAGUACCAUCAGUAUGCAUAGUUUUGUUUAUUUAUUAUUUACAGAAUGUGGAGCCCAACCCCCAUCACUAAUUAUCUCUGCGCACAACACAACAAUUUAAACUGCCAUUACCAACGAAGACCAAAAGUAAAAUGCAGCUAAGAUAAUGCUCACCAAUCUACCUGUUAAAUAUUAUAAAGAGCAUGGCUACAUUGCCCCAUGCAUAACAUACAUAUGCACAACCAGUCCAGAAGACAUGGCAGAAAGUUGCAAGAGGACAGCCCCAAGGGGUAUGCAAUCUAAGCUUUAACAUGGGUAACAACAGAGGAAGGGUACAUAGGAAGCAAUGUGUAGUUGUUUCAGUUACUCAUCUUAGGUUCUGUUACGGAUAAGGAUAGGUAGAUACAAACAUAAUUUCACAUUAUGGUUCUUGCCAGCUCUUGUUGCAAGUCUUCUCCUUCACCAUGAAAGUACCCAGCUGCAUAGAUACAACUGUACAUUUCAAAAUUAAACCAUCCUAAAAGAUGUUUAUGGGGUAGAAGGACUAUUUCAUUUGAGAGGUAGGAAGUGAAAUGAAUAUAUUGGUGGAACAGCUGAAUGCUUGAGAGGAUUUCAUUGUCAGUUGAAUUCCUUGGCAGACACGGUACUGAGGCAGCAGUGACCCCUGCCACCUCAUUUAGCUCAUGUAUGUUCACACCAAAAACUUUGCUUUAAUUUUAAAAUUUGUCCAGUUAUGUAAGGCCAAUAAUCUCUGGUUAAGAUAAGCCACUAUUGCCUCUUCAAAGUAUAAUGAAAGAUGUGUUGGGCAGAGCUCCAAUCAUGUUCACUUCACAAAGAUUAUUUUUUUAAAAAAAAAUUUCUGUCCUAGGCUUUUAGGACAUUGUACCUGAUAGAUAUAUAAUGGUGUAGCUGUAAAUAUGGCAACCACAUGGAGACGUUUUCAGAGUAGGGAGGUUUGGAGUUGCAAGGAAACCAACCUUGUAAAGUGUAAAAACUGCUCCACCCACUGGUGUGAACAGACAGCAUUCAAUGUGGAAACAUAUAAAAGUGUACCAAUGUAUAUAAUAUGGAGCAAUUUUUAUUGUGCUGUGGGGUAUGUGUGUGUGAGAGAGAGAGACCUUGCAACAUUUCAAGUGUACGAAACCACUGUCUUUUAACCUAAACAACCUCACAGGGUUGUUUGUGGAUAAAAUGGGAAGAGGGGAGAACCAUGUACGGCAGCUUGAGUUACUUAGGGGGAAAUGGGAUAUAAAUGUAAUAAUAAAUAAAUAAUAAAAUAGCUAACCAAUACAACAAAUGCCAGUUGAAGCCGUAGAAGUAUAGAUUGACAAGAAAAUAUGGACUGUAGAAACAUACAGAUACAUUUCUACAAUACGGUGUGGUAGCAUG